rnacentral:rRNA from 1 species
AGUGAACGCUGGCGGUAGGCCUAACACAUGCAAGUCGAACGGCAGCACAGUAAGAGCUUGCUCUUACGGGUGGCGAGUGGCGGACGGGUGAGGAAUACAUCGGAAUCUACUUUUUCGUGGGGGAUAACGUAGGGAAACUUACGCUAAUACCGCAUACGACCUACGGGUGAAAGCAGGGGAUCUUCGGACCUUGCUCGAUUGACUGAGCCGAUGUCGGAUUAGCUAGUUGGCGGGGUAAAGGCCCACCAAGGCGACGAUCCGUAGCUGGUCUGAGAGGAUGAUCAGCCACACUGGAACUGAGACACGGUCCAGACUCCUACGGGAGGCAGCAGUGGGGAAUAUUGGACAAUGGGCGCAAGCCUGAUCCAACCAUACCGCGUGGGUGAAGAAGGCCUUCGGGUUGUAAAGCCCUUUUGUUGGGAAAGAAAAGCAGCAGGUUAAUACCCCGCUGUUCUGACGGUACCAAAAGAAUAAGCACCGGCUAACUUCGUG